UACAGAGGUCCCAAGCGUUGUUCGGAAUCACUGGGCGUAAAGCGCACGUAGGCGGCUUUUUAAGUCAGGGGUGAAAUCCUGGAGCUCAACUCCAGAACUGCCUUUGAUACUGGGAAGCUUGAGUCCGGGAGAGGUGAGUGGAACUCCGAGUGUAGAGGUGAAAUUCGUAGAUAUUCGGAAGAACACCAGUGGCGAAGGCGGCUCACUGGCCCGGUACUGACGCUGAGGUGCGAAAGCGUGGGGAGCAAACAGG
rnacentral:rRNA from 1 species